AUUGAACGCUGGCGGCAGGCCUAACACAUGCAAGUCGAACGAGUGGCGGACGGGUGAGUAAUAUAUGGGGAACUGCCUGAUGGAGGGGGAUAACUACUGGAAACGGUGGCUAAUACCGCAUACCAUCGGAUGUACCCAUAUGGGAUUAGCUAGUAGGUGGGGUAAAGGCUCACCUAGGCGACGAUCCCUAGCUGGUCUGAGAGGAUGACCAGCCACACUGGAACUGAGACACGGCCCAGACUCCUACGGGAGGCAGCAGUGGGGAAUAUUGCACAAUGGGCGCAAGCCUGAUGCAGCCAUGCCGCGUGUAUGAAGAAGGCCUUCGGGUUGUAAAGUACUUUCAGCGGGGAGGCGUUACCCGCAGAAUAAGCACCGGCUAACUACGUGCCAGCAGCCGCGGUAAUUC
rnacentral:rRNA from 1 species